GACGAACGCUGGCGGCGUGCUUAACACAUGCAAGUCGAACGGUAAGGCCCUUCGGGGUACACGAGUGGCGAACGGGUGAGUAACACGUGGGUGAUCUGCCCUGCACUUCGGGAUAAGCCUGGGAAACUGGGUCUAAUACCGGAUAGGACCACUGCCUGCAUGGGUGGUGGUGGAAAGCUUUUGCGGUGUGGGAUGGGCCCGCGGCCUAUCAGCUUGUUGGUGGGGUGAUGACCUACCAAGGCGACGACGGGUAGCCGGCUUGAGAGGGUGACCGGCCACACUGGGACUGAGAUACGGCCCAGACUCCUACGGGAGGCAGCAGUGGGGAAUAUUGCACAAUGGGCGCAAGCCUGAUGCAGCGACGCCGCGUGAGGGAUGACGGCCUUCGGGUUGUAAACCUCUUUCAGCACCGACGAAGCGCAAGUGACGGUAGGUGCAGAAGAAGGACCGGCCAACUACGUGCCAGCAGCCGCGGUAA
rnacentral:rRNA from 1 species